rnacentral:rRNA from 1 species
UACGGAGGGGGCAAGCGUUGUUCGGAAUUAUUGGGCGUAAAGCGUAUGUAGGCGGCCGCUCAAGUCAGACGUGUAAGCCCACGGCUCAACCGUGGAAUUGCGUUUGAUACUGUACGGCUUGAGUUCGGAAGAGGAAAGUGGAAUUCCCAGUGUAGCGGUGAAAUGCAUUGAGAUUGGGAAGAACAUCUGUGGCGAAGGCGACUUUCUGGUCCGAUACUGACGCUGAGAUACGAAAGCCAGGGGAGCGAACGGG